rnacentral:rRNA from 1 species
GACGAACGCUGGCGGCGUGCUUAACACAAGCAAGUCGAACGGAAAGGCCCUGCUUUUGUGGGGUGCUCGAGUGGCGAACGGGUGAGUAACACGUGAGUAACCUGCCCUUGACUUUGGGAUAACUUCAGGAAACUGGGGCUAAUACCGGAUAGGAGCUCCUGCUGCAUGGUGGGGGUUGGAAAGUUUUGGCGGUUGGGGAUGGACUCGCGGCUUAUCAGCUUGUUGGUGGGGUAGUGGCUUACCAAGGCUUUGACGGGUAGCCGGCCUGAGAGGGUGACCGGCCACAUUGGGACUGAGAUACGGCCCAGACUCCUACGGGAGGCAGCAGUGGGGAAUAUUGCACAAUGGGCGGAAGCCUGAUGCAGCAACGCCGCGUGCGGGAUGACGGCCUUCGGGUUGUAAACCGCUUUCGCCUGUGACGAAGCGUGAGUGACGGUAAUGGGUAAAGAAGCACCGGCUAACUACGU